AGUGAUUUAAGGAUUACAAAAACUGGUCUGGCCUCUGAUACAUGGUUCUGCAGCGAAAGCUGUCAAGAGGUUUAUGAAGGUCUUCACUCUCGCAUUGGGUUCGUUAAUCAUCUGGCUGAUGGCUUUUCAUGGACAAUUCUGAGGUGCAUUCUCGGUGACCACAAAGUUCAUUCUCAGCGGUUCAUUGCUUUGAAGGCAGAAUGCAACUCAAAGUUAGCAGUUGCCCUUACGAUUAUGGAGGAGUGCUUUCUUCCCAUGGUGGAUCCAAGAACUGGCAUAGAUAUGAUACCCCAUGUGAUAUACAGCUGGGGAUCACAAUUUUCUCGGUUAAAUUAUCUUGGAUUCUACACGAUGAUCCUGGAGAAAGAUGACAUAUCAGUAGCUGUAGCAUCAGUAAGGAUCCAUGGAGUAACAGUUGCUGAGAUGCCUCUAAUUGCAACAUGCAGUAAAUACCGCCGCCAGGGAAUGUGCAGGCGCCUACUAAAUUCUAUACUGGAGAUGCUAAAGUCGUUCAAGGUCGAGAAACUUGUCAUAUCAGCUAUUCCAGGUUUAGUGGAAACAUGGACUUGUGGCUUUGGCUUUGAACCCUUGGAAGAUCACGAGAAACGAAGUCUAAGUCAUAUCAACCUCAUGGUGUUCCCUGGAACUGUAUGGUUGAAGAAGUCUUUGUUUCAAGCUGCUGAUGCAGAUCAACCGAGUGUUUGUCCGGGUGGAAAUGGCCUCACCAUUAUCGAGUCCAUGCAACAUUGCGUGCCAUCUCAAGAUGUCAAUGCAGGAGCUGAUGUCAGAGACCCACCUCAGUCUGAGAGUUUGCAAUUCUGUGAAGAUGAAGGUGGUAGUAAUCAGGAUCUUGGGCAAGGCUGUGAAGGAAACACCAUUAAUCCAGAGCAUCAAACCGAAACCAGGCUGCCGGACUCAAAUGAUUUGCAACCAGUGGAAGUGCUGUGUGUUGUUGAUGCUCUGCCUAGCAAGUGCUCAAAACUCUCCGAGGAACCGGUUCUGACGUAUAUCAGCCAUGGGGAAGCAGGUUGUAGAGUAGAUAAUUUGCAGAUGAAUGUGGAUAGUCAUUUUUGUUUAGAUGAAGUGAAUUAAUGUGUUGUAGGGGAAUGUGUAAUGACGUUGAUAAUUUAUAAUUUCGUAGCUAUACACCAGCGACUUUGUCAAGCAGGAUAAAAAAAAUAAGCAAAACGAUGCGGAAAAUGAAAAAUUUGGGCGAAUUGCUUUUUCA
rnacentral:misc_RNA from 1 species